rnacentral:rRNA from 1 species
UUAAUUGAAGAGUUUGAUCAUGGCUCAGAUUGAACGCUGGCGGCAGGCCUAACACAUGCAAGUCGAGCGGUAACAGGAGAAAGCUUGCUUUCUUGCUGACGAGCGGCGGACGGGUGAGUAAUGUAUGGGGAUCUGCCCGAUAGAGGGGGAUAACUACUGGAAACGGUGGCUAAUACCGCAUAAUGUCUACGGACCAAAGCAGGGGCUCUUCGGACCUUGCACUAUCGGAUGAACCCAUAUGGGAUUAGCUAGUAGGUGGGGUAAAGGCUCACCUAGGCGACGAUCUCUAGCUGGUCUGAGAGGAUGAUCAGCCACACUGGGACUGAGACACGGCCCAGACUCCUACGGGAGGCAGCAGUGGGGAAUAUUGCACAAUGGGCGCAAGCCUGAUGCAGCC